rnacentral:tRNA from 1 species
ACUUCUAUGGUGAAACAGGUAGACACAAAAAAUUCAAAAUUUUUCACCGCAAGGUGUGCCGGUUCGAAUCCGGCUAGAAGUA